UGAACGGGUGAGUAACGCGUGGGUAACCUGCCUUAUAGCGGGGGAUAACUAUUGGAAACGAUAGCUAAUACCGCAUAACAAUAGAGAUUGCAUAAUCUUUAUUUGAAAGUGCCAACUGGUACACUAUGAGAUGGACCCGCGUUGUAUUAGCUAGUUGGUAGUGUAAUGGACUACCAAGGCGAUGAUACAUAGCCGACCUGAGAGGGUGAUCGGCCACAUUGGGACUGAGACACGGCCCAAACUCCUACGGGAGGCAGCAGUAGGGAAUCUUCGGCAAUGGACGAAAGUCUGACCGAGCAACGCCGCGUGAGUGAAGAAGGUUUUCGGAUCGUAAAACUCUGUUGUUAGAGAAGAAUGUUGAUUAGAGUGGAAAAUUAAUCAAGUGACGGUAUCUAACCAGAAAGGGACGGCUAACUACGUGCCAGCAGCCGCGGUAAUACGUAGGUCCCGAGCGUUGUCCGGAUUUAUUGGGCGUAAAGCGAGCGCAGGUGGUUUAAUAAGUCUGAUGUAAAAGGCAGUGGCUCAACCAUUGUGUGCAUUGGAAACUGUUAGACUUGAGUGCAGUAGAGGAGAGUGGAAUUCCAUGUGUAGCGGUGAAAUGCGUAGAUAUAUGGAGGAACCCGGUGGCGAAAGCGGCUCUCUGGACUGUCACUGACACUGAGGCUCGAAAGCGUGGGUAGCAAACAGGAUUAGAUACCCUGGUAGUCCACGCCGUAAACGAUGAGUGCUAGUUGUUUGGGGCUAUCCAGCCCUAAGUGACGCAGCAAACGCAUUAAGCACUCCGCCUGGGGAGUACGACCGCAAGGUUGAAACUCAAAGGAAUUGACGGGGGCCCGCACAAGCGGUGGAGCAUGUGGUUUAAUUCGAAGCAACGCGAAGAACCUUACCAGGUCUUGACAUACUCGUGCUA
rnacentral:rRNA from 1 species